UCAGAGUUGCGAAGCAUGAGAUGUUUCCUAGGGAUUUCUUCUUAAUGAGCUCAUUUCAGCUUUUUGUUUGCAGAUCCAAGCUUUUUUGAGCAGUUUGGUUGGGGGAAUUUUGCUUGUUUUGUCCAUACAGUAUGUUAAUUCAUUAUUAGGCUGCGUGAGUUUUUCUUGGCCUCCAAGUCUUUAUUCAUUGUCUUUAGAUGCCAUGACAAGGCUCAAGUCAUAUG
rnacentral:lncRNA from 1 species